rnacentral:lncRNA from 1 species
GCGGGGGCGAGCGGCAGACCUCGGGCUGGGAGGAAGGAGCUAGAGAUCUAGGAUUGGUUCUUCGGGCUCUAAUGUCACCAAGUCUGGGAGGGGAGACGGCCGCGGGGGAGGGUUCAGAGCUUGGCUCGGGUCCUGGCCGGUUCCCCCUGGACAGCCGGAGACUUGGGCCGGCCAGACGCCCCUCUGGCACGCUCCCGGGGCAGGCGCUCUCGCACGCCUCGAACGCACACUCCCCGUCCCUCCCUCGCGCACUCACCCGUCUCCCCAGCGCCUGCUCCCGCUUUCUCUCUCUCCCUUCCUAACACACCUCGCUCACUCCCACUCGGGCGGUCUCUUUCGCUCCCACCUGCUCCAAGUCUCGCUCUGCGCACCCCCGGUGGCGCGCCCAGCCCCUGGCGCUCUCGCCUGUCACUAUCGCAGCUUCGCAGCUUCGGCGGGCAGCGCCCCGACUCGCCCUGCUCCUUCUCGCAGAGGCGCGCCUGAUGCCCGGGACCCGCCGCUGAGCCCAGGAGACCAUGGUGGGAGCGCUUGCCCGCCGCGGUACCCACUGAGGCCAUGCCGGCGAGCCAGAGCCCGGCCGGCGCCGGCCAGCGCUUGCUUCUGCUCCUGCUACCGCUGCUGCUGCUGCUGCUGCUCCAGGGCAGCCACGCGGGCAACCUGACCGUGGCCGUGGUGUUGCCGCUGGCCAACACCUCGUACCCGUGGUCGUGGGCGCGCGUGGGGCCCGCGGUGGAGCUGGCUCUGACCCGGGUGAAAGCGCAGCCCGACUUGCUGCCAGGCUGGACAGUCCGCACGGUGCUAGGCAGCAGCGAGAAUGCGCUGGGAGCCUGCUCCGACACGGCUGCGCCCCUGGCCGCAGUGGACCUCAAGUGGGAGCACAACCCCGCCGUGUUCCUGGGCCCCGGCUGCGUGUACGCGGCCGCUCCGGUGGGGCGCUUCACCGCGCACUGGCGGGUGCCCCUGCUGACCGCUGGCGCUCCGGCGCUAGGCUUCGGGGCUAAAGACGAGUACGCGUUGACCACCCGCGCAGGACCCAGCCACGCCAAGCUGGGCGACUUCGUGGCGGCGCUGCAUCGACGGCUGGGCUGGGAGCGCCGGGCGCUGGUGCUCUACGCCUACCGGCCCGGCGACGACCAGCCCUGCUUCUUCGUGGUGGAGGGGCUGUACAUGCGGGUCCGCGACCGCCUCAACAUCACAGUGGACCACCUGGAGUUCGCCGAGGGCGACCACGACCACUACACCAAGCUGCUGCGGACCGUUGGGCGCAAAGGCCGAGGUGAGAGAGGCCCCCCACCCCCAUUUCUCCACCUCGUCCCGCCGCCUGUGACCUUUGACAGCGUGCAGGGCGCUGGCCUUCCUCUCCCUUCCGCUCUGGGCCAGUCUUUUCUCUUCUCGAGGCUCUUCAUUCCUGUCUCAGCCUCCCCCGCUCCCCAACUUCUGGGUUUCUACUUCCCUCUCUUUCCCUGCGCCCCCCUCCCCUUUCACGUUCCUACUCCAUCACCUCCCCCUAUUUCCCUGACUGCCCAGGGUUUACCCCAGGGGGAAAGUGCCUGCUCUCCUUCUACCUAGUAGGUCCUGUCCCCUUUUCCCCCCCGUCUUCCUCUCUUUCUUACUGCCUUCUCCCUCCUCCAUCCUUUCCUCCCAUGGCUCCCACACACCCUCUCACCCAUCCCUCUGCAGCCGGCCCCUCUCUGCCUCCUCCCCUCCUGCCCCACCUGCCCCCCGCCUCGGUUCUCCUUUCCCGCUCUGCCUACCUCUGCUCCUUCCUUCUCCGCCCUCCACACCUCCUCCUCCCACCCUUUUCCAACUUUCUCCUGCCACUGCCUAAACUGAGCCAGUGCCGUUUAACCGCCACCAGGUCCCCUCGUCCUCCCCGUGAGCCCCGGCUUCCCUGCCCUUUCCUUUCCCUGGCUGACUCCUCCUUUCCUUCCAGUCGUCUACAUCUGCAGCUCCCCAGAUGCCUUCAGGACCCUCAUGCUCCUGGCCCUGGACGCUGGCCUCAGUGGGGAAGACUAUGUUUUCUUCCACCUGGAUGUCUUCGGGCAAAGCCUACAAGGGGCACAGGGCCCUGCUCCCCGCAGGCCCUGUGAGAGAGGAGACGGGCGGGAUGUCAGUGCCCGCCUGGCCUUUCAGGUGAGUGCCAGGGUUUGCCCAUGCUGAGGGACUGAGCUGUUGACACUUGGUUUCUGGAUACUGUGUCCCUAAGUAUCUGAAAGGAGGGGGAAAAAAAAAAGGUGUUCUUGGUGCUCCUGAGGGACUUCAGAGCCAGAAGGCUAAAAAGAUAAGACAAUGGGGCUCGAAGAGGGAGUACAUUGAAGUUCCACACGCUGGGCGAAGACUCCAGUCCCUUGCUCAAGAGCAGGGACCACUUCUUGCAGGAAAUAGGGUAUAAUUUGACCUUGACCUUAGCAGAGAGGCUGGCCUGUGAGGUUGGCUCCCUGACAACUGGUGCCAAGGGUACUGGGAGAACAAGAAUCAGCUCCUAGCUCGCUCUCUGACCCCUUCCUCAGGCUGCCAAAAUCAUUACAUAUAAAGAACCGGAUACUCCUGAGUACUUGGAAUUCCUGAAGCAGCUCAAAGUCUUGGCCCGUGAGCAGUUCAACUUCACCAUGGAAGAUGGCCUGGUAGGAGGGGGUCCUGGAACCUUCUAGUGCGGACCUCCAGACUUUGCUUCAUGGCUCUCCUCCAGACUCUCCUCCAGAUGUGUGUUCUUUCACACAUCUCAGUGUUUCCGGGUCUCCCCUUCCCUCCCUUCCCAUUGACUCCUUAUCUCUCUGGAUGAUAGAGGUGACAGUGACAAGUUCAACCCCUAAACCUCAGGUCCUCAUCAGUAAAAUGGGGUUGACCAACCCUGUCCUGUCCGCCCAGUCCCAUACUGUGGGUGUAUUUUAUGUAUCCUGUCUGGGCUCCCAGUGCCUCCUGUCCUCUCGCCAUGGCACCCUGCGCUGUACCCCCCAUCCAUCCCCUUUUCCCCCAGCUGACUUCUCUCUGUCCCUGCAGGAGAACCUCAUCCCUGCAUCCUUCCAUGAUGGGCUUCUGCUCUAUGUCCAGGCAGUGACAGAGACGCUAGCACACGGGGGAACUGUCGCCAAUGGGGAGACCAUCACUCAGAGGAUGUGGAACCGAAGCUUCCCAGGUCAGGGCCUGGGAGUGACUGGAAAGGGCUUUUUAGGGAAGGGGGGGUGAGUACCAUGUGCCCCAGCCUGUAGCCCUGCAACUCAGGUAGCCAUUUGCCCAUUACCAGUCUUUCCCUUUCUUUUAUAAGAACCUCCACAGCUUCUUUCAGGCUCUCCUUCCCUCGUCCCCCAGAUCCAUCCAGUCCUCCCACGUGUCCCAUCUCAGUCCUUCCUGCUGCCAACGCAGCUGUCCUGUUGGCUCUUCUUCUGUGCCUACGUGUGUUUGAAGAUCAGGAGAUGGAGACAUGGAAGUGGGACCUCCCUGCACGGGAAUUUUCUCACAACACAGCUAUGUUGCCCCGGCCCACAGGUGUGACAGGAUACCUGAAAAUUGAUAGCAAUGGAGAUCGUGAGACUGACUUCUCCCUCUGGGAUAUGGACCCUGAGACCGGUGCCUUCAGGGUACGUGUGCACACUCAGAAGACCACCGUGUGUCUCCUCAGGAUGACAUCUCACCCUCCUGCCCUCCCCCACAGCCCUGCCAGGGCAUCUGUUUAUUCUGUGAUCACCCUACCCUGCCUGGACAUCUAUGAAAGCCCUGGACAAAACAGACCCCGUUCCAUUCUGGGGGAGCAACCAGAAUGAUAGGGAUUCGCAUGGGGAACCCCGUGUCUAAGGAGGGAGCACAGCCCUUUCCUUGGGGAGUUCUUAAGGAAAGCAAGACUCCUCGCAGCAGUCAGGUAGACUCUGAGCCAACAGGAAUGCAUACGCACAGCUCACAGCUCGGUAAACACAGUAGAUACUGGCAGGGAUUGAGGCCAGAGGCACCAAGGAUCAAAUCCAGGAAGGCUUCCUGGAAGAAAACUGCACUGAUGAGGCUUGGGAAUGUGGGUUGAGAUGGAUGCUACCUUUCCCUGUUUCUGUGCUUUAAUCGAGGCUAUAAAGUCCUUGCGUGUAGGCGUGGGGUUCUAUAUGCAGCUUUCUUUAUAAAGCCCUUGAGUCAUUUUCAAAUGUUUGCCCCUUAAUUCCAUGGGAACAAGUAUGAGGUCUCCCUGUAGGCGGUCACAGCAGGGGCUUGGUGACCCAGAUACAGGCCCUGGAAGUAUUGAUGAGGAGGUGGGAAGCAGGACUGUGUCACUGGACAGGAGGCCACAUGCCAGGCCCUUGACCAUUCCUGCUCUCCCUUAGGUUGUACUGAACUACAAUGGGACUUCCCAAGAGCUGGUGGCUGUGUCAGGGUGCGAACUAUACUGGCCCCUGGGGUAUCCUCCUCCUGACAUCCCUAAAUGUGGCUUUGACAACGAGGACCCAUCCUGCAACCAAGGUGACUGGCCCUUGCUCUUCGGGCUGCUGUUCUGGAGACACUGCCUCCUCCCAAGGGGAAUCAAGUGGGUGCUCCUCUCCUACCCUUUUCUGGAUUCAGAGCCUCCUCCUGCCUUUUGCUUCCCUUCAUCCACCGCUGUUGACCAUGAUGAAGGGAAGGCCCUUCCUCCUCUGUAGAGCCCAGAUCACUUGCCACACUUGACUCUCUCCUGCAGACCACUUGUCCACCCUGGAGCUCCUGGCCUUGGUAGGCAGCCUCGCCCUGCUUAGCAUCCUGAUCGUCUCCUUCUUUGUAUACAGGUGAGCCGAGCCCAGCCGUGGCCCGGGGGUGGGGGUGGGGUGGGGGGGGUGCGGUGACAUGGGGAGACUUGGAGAGGGAGGUGUAGGGACAAGGGGGGAGGGGAGGGGUGAAGGGACAGCGGGGGAAGGCAGAAGGAGAGAGGGAGAAAAGAAACGAAAAGCCUUAAAACGCCACAGUGCAGUGGCCAUAACUAUAAUCCCGGGGACUCUGGAAACUGAAGCAGGAGGAUCACAAGUUUGAGGUCAGCCCAACAAUUUAGGGAGACCCUGUGCCAAAAUUUAGGGGGAAAAAAGCUGGGCUCAGUGGCACAUGCCUGUAAUCCCAGCAACUUGGGAGGCUGAGGAAGGAGGAUGGCAAGUUCAAAGCCAGCCUCGGCAGCUUAGCAAGGCCUUGUCUCAAAAUAAAAAAAUAAAAAGGGAUGGGGAUGUGGCUCAGUGGUUAAGUGCCCCAGGGUUCAAUUUCUGGUACCAUAAUAACAAUAAUAAUAGUUAAUUUUUUUUAAAGAUUAGGAAUGUAGUUCAGUGGUAGAGCAUCUACCUAGCUUGUGAGAGAGCCUAUGUUUAAUCCUCAGUAUCACAAUAAAUAAUAAAUAGCCUUAGGACACAGAGAAGAAAACAGAGAAUGGAGUGAGAGGAAAGAGGGGACAGGGAUAGAAGUGGCCAGAGAAGAUCAAGGAGAUGCAAGAAGGAGCAGAUAGAUUGAGAAGUGAUGUCAUACCAGAGUGGCUCCUGGCAUGGAACUGGUUUUCCUUGCUCUGGGGACUGGGCCCUGUUAAGGAGCCCUGCUGUGACCAGUGGUGGACCUCGAGUGGAUAAGAGAGAUGAAUGAGCCCCACUCCUGCCUUCCAGUGAGGCUGAAAUGGAAAUCCAGGACACAGGAGAGAAGGGAGGGAGGACAAUCAAUGCUGAUUGAACCUAGUAGACCACGUGUCAGGCACUUCCACACACAAUGUUUCUUUUUAUUCUUGUAACAGUUAAGAAUGAAGCCAGGUGUGGGGGUGCAUGCCUGUAAUCCCAGCAACUCAGAAGGCUCAGACAGGAGGACUGCAAAUUUUAGGCCAACCUGGGGCCAUGUAUUGAGUGAGACCCUGUCUCAAGAUAAAAAAUGAAAAGGGAUCGGGAUGUGGCUCAGUGGUAGAGCAUCCCUGGGUUUAAUACCGUGUGUGUAAAAGGACAUUGACUGUGACUACCCCAAUGUCCCCAGUUGAGGUAGAAUGUCACCAGGCUCUGACCCUCAGCCUGGGAGAUAGAAUUCCCUCAUUCACCUCUUAAUACUUGAAGUAGUCUCGGGGCUCUGAGGAGGGACUCCUGACCACUCCCGACCAGGUCGGGGGAUCAUACAUGAGCUCAGGUGUAGGUUUCACGCCCCAGGAAGAUGCAGCUGGAGAAGGAGCUGGCCUCCGAGCUGUGGCGAGUGCGCUGGGAGGACCUGCAGCCCAGCAGCCUGGAGAGGCACCUCCGAAGCGCGGGCAGCCGGCUGACCUUGAGCGGGGUGAGAAUGCUGGUGUCUGAGGGGGCUGGGGGGUGUCACUGGUGUUCGCGAGGGGGCCCUGGGUACCCAGAGCAGUAGGGUAGAAAACAGGGCUCCACGCCCACCUCUGCCUUCCUUUGCUUCAUGACCUUGAGCAAGGCCAUUGCCUCUCUGAACUGGGCUCAUGGUGAUUGCAUCUCUAGAGCCUCCCUCCAGGGGCUCUUGGAAAGAUCAAAGGAGGCAGUAUAUGGGACAACACAAACAUAAAACCAGUAAGCGAGGGGAGGUUUCAUGAUGUGGAACAUCAAGGAGGGUGACACAAAGCUAAGGAAGGGUAGGAAAGACCAGAGCACAAGCACCCAGGGGCAUCCGGGCCUCUAGGCUGAACCCCUGUUCUUCACCCCUUCAGAGAGGCUCCAAUUACGGCUCCCUGCUAACCACAGAGGGCCAGUUCCAGGUGUUUGCCAAGACAGCGUACUACAAGGUGGGCCUGGGGAGACUUCUGGUCCUGGGUACUGUGGAAGUGUGCUCUGUGGCAGAGGGUGCCAGGGUGGGCUGUCAAGGGGCAGUUGGAGAUCCUCAGGGGAGUGGGGUGCCAUUGGGAGCAGCUGGGGGUCUUGGAGGGCGGCGUGAGCUGUCGGGAGCAGGUGGAGGUGCCAGGGCACCAGGUCAUGCUCCACACAGUGACAGUCUCCAUUCCUUUCUCAGGGCAACCUGGUGGCUGUGAAACAUGUGAAUCGUAAACGCAUUGAGCUGACAAGAAACGUCCUGUUUGAACUGAAGCAUGUAAUGUGGGGGUGUGAGGCGGUGGCCUGGGGAAGAGUCCCCUGCCGGGAGAUGGCCAACUGAGCUGUCUGUGGAGGUUUUGGUUUUCAGAGUGUCCUAGGAAAGCUAGGGUCUGUGAACCUGGGAUGGGCCCUUGCAUCCUGGGGAUGGGAUUAGGGGACCCAUCAUGAGAAGAGAGAUGAGAUCUCUGGAGAUACCCUGGAGGAAGACCCUUGAGGGACCUUACAUGGUGACCUGGGGAAUAAAAGGCAAGGAGGCAGAGGGUGUAGGAAGCAGAUUGUGGGGGAGAAGGGCCCAGUGGACAGGUUUGCAAACAAUGAAUAGGGAGUUAAGGGGGAGGGUCCCUGAGGCCAGAGAGCAAUCUGGUGAGGAGUGAGGUCUCUGUGAUGCUCCUGAUGCUGCUUCUCACCUGCAGAUGCGGGAUGUACAGAAUGAACACCUGACCAGGUUUGUGGGUGCCUGCACUGACCCCCCCAACAUCUGUAUCCUCACAGAGUACUGUCCCAGAGGGAGCCUGCAGGUGAGGGGACAAGGGAGUGUUAGUGAACCUGGGUUCCAAGCUGGGCAUGGCUGGGCAUGCCUGUAAUCCCCGCUACUUUGUGAGGCUGAGACAGGAGGGUUGCAAGCUCAAGGGCGGCUUCAGCAACUUAGCAAGACCCUGUCUCAAAAUGAAAAUGGCUGGGGAUGUGGCUUAGUAAUAGAAACACCCUUGGGUUCAAUCCCUGGUACCACAGGGAAAAAAAAAAUCCGGAAAUCUGGGUUCUAGCCCUGGCUUUGUCCCUGACUGGCCACAGGAGCCUAGCAAGCCUCCCUCCCUCUUUUUGGCCUUUAGUGGCCCCAUCUGUAAAAUGGGAAUGGGGGAAAUGCAGCUAGAGUAAAUCCAGUGUGGUCAGUAGGACCCUUGCCUCCUCCUCCCACCCCUAUGGAGGUCUGUGGGGUACAGGUCUGACUCUCCCCAGCAGGACAUUCUGGAGAAUGAGAGCAUCACCCUGGACUGGAUGUUCCGGUACUCACUCACCAAUGACAUUGUCAAGGUAAGCCCAGAGGGGCCACUGGGUGUUGGGGGUUGGGAUGAGGAAUGAGUAUGCUUCUCCCCUGGCCCUGGUUGUAGGUCCCCUCAUGCCCAAGACCUCUGCCUCCCCAAAUUUCCCAGGGAAUGCUGUUUCUACACAAUGGGGCCAUUUGCUCCCAUGGGAACCUCAAGUCAUCCAACUGUGUGGUAGAUGGGCGCUUUGUGCUUAAGAUCACCGACUAUGGGCUGGAGAGCUUCAGGGACCCGGAGCCAGAGCAAGGACACAUCCUUUAUGCCAGUGAGCCCAACUCUUAACCCUCAACCCCCCUACCCGACAAGCACCACCAGGAUAGCUUAGUAGGGAGACUGUGGCCUGGGAUCUGCCUGGCUCGGGCAUGCCUCUACUGAAUCCAAAGUCAGUUCUCAUUAGCAAAAAGGGGAAGACAGAGCUCUUCCCCGUUCUAAACACAGUGUGCUGUUCAGACCAGUCCCAGCCACAAGCUGGUUCACAGCUUUCCCCCACCCCUCCCCCACCGGAAGCUCUCUUUCCCAGCAUCAUUGCAUAUUCUUCUUUAUUUCUAUUAUUGCUUUUUUUGGCCAUGAAAGCUUAUAUUCAUUGCUAGUUUUUCUUUUCCCACUAGACUAUAAAGUCCCUCAUCCCUUCGCUUUGGGGUCCUUCACCACGUGACUCCUAAUGUCUGACCCACAGAAAAGUUAUGGACAGCUCCUGAGCUUCUGCGAAUGGCUUCGCCCCCUUCUCGAGGCUCCCAGGCUGGUGACGUGUACAGCUUUGGGAUCAUCCUCCAGGAGAUUGCCCUGAGGAGUGGGGUCUUCCAUGUGGAAGGUUUAGACCUCAGUCCCAAAGGUGAAAGAGCCACAAUGUCCCCUACCUCUAACCCCAGCCCCAGGGAGAGGGACCCUUGGAAGCAUCCCUAACCCUUCCUUCUGAGAUGGGGCCUGGCCACCACCCUUUGUUCCACUGAUGCCAGCCCAGCUGGUCCUAGGCUUCCCUAACCAACUCCAGCUGGCUGCCCCAGCCUCUCACUGGGCCCCUGGCUAACCCCUCUCCCCCACCCAAUACAGAGAUCAUUGAGCGUGUGACUCGGGGUGAGCAGCCCCCCUUCCGGCCCUCCCUGGCCCUGCAGAGCCACCUGGAGGAACUGGGGCAGCUGAUGCAGCGGUGCUGGGCCGAGGACCCACAGGAACGGCCACCCUUUCAGCAGAUCCGCCUGACACUCCGCAAGUUUAACAGGUCACUGGUGUUAGUCAUGGCCGCCUUCCCUCCCCACUCCAGACACUACAACCCCACACUUCAGUCUAUCUGCAGCCACAGAGGGAGCCACUCCAGCCACACAUGGCUCACCCCAGUCCACCGCAGCCUCUCAGCCCUCUGUACAACUCGGCUGUCCUCUCAGCCUCCUACCAUUCAGACCCCUUUCUUCCACCUACAGCAACACCCCAAGCCCUGCCCACUCUCCCACACUGGGCACAGUGGUGUGCAGAAUAAAUGGGCCACACAGCUUUGGCCUCUCCUUCGCUCCCCAUAUCCUCAGCCCUCCCCAUGAGCUCCUGCCCCAGCCCGAUGGUCUCCCUUUCCCAGUGGAGCUCAGAGAUCCCCAGACACACCUGUCUGCUGCCUGUGUGCCUGUCACUUUGUCCUUAGCUCAUCCUUGUCCCUAUCCACCUUUUUUAUUUUUUUUUUGGCACUGGGGAUUGAACCCAGGGACACUCUAUCUACUACUGAACUACAACCCCAGCCCUUUUUAUUUUCUUCAUUUAUUUUUAAAUAUUUUAAAAUUAUAGAUGGACAUAAUACCUUUAAUUAAUUAAUUGAUUGUUUUUAUGUGGUGCUGAGAAUCAAACCCACUGCCUCACACAUGCCAGACGAGUGCGCUACCACUGAGCCACAACCCCAACCCCUUUUAAAUUUUUUUUUUUUAAUUUUAAUUUUUAUUUUUUAGAUGUUGAUAGACUUUAUUUUUUUAUUUAUACAUGGUGCUGAGAAACGAACCCAGGGCCUCACACAUGCUAGGCAAGUGUGCUAUCGCUAAGCCACAAUCCGAGCCCCAAGCCCUUUUCAUUUUAAGUCUUGGUCUCACUAAAUUGCCCAAGCUGGCUGGGUCCAUAGCGCACACCUAUAAUCCCAGUGACUGAAGAAGUUGAGGCGGAGGAUCCUUAAAUUCAAGACCAGCCUGGGAGGCCAUGUCUUUUUUCUUUUGUUCUUUUCUUUCUUUCUUUGGUACCGGGAUUGAAUCCCAGGGGUGCUUAACCACUGAGCCACAUCCCCAGCCCCUUAUUUUAUUUAGAGUUGCUUAGGGACUUGCUAAGUUUCUCACGCUGGCUUUGAACUCAGUCCUCCUCCCUCCACUGGGAUUACAAGUAUGUGCCAUGCACCCUGCUUUGAGACCAUGUCUUAAUGAAAAGGUCUGGGGAUGUAGCUCAGUGGUAGAGCACCCCUGGGUUCAAUCCCCAGUACCACCACCACAGUAAUAAUAAUAAGGCUGGCCUUGAACCUGUUAAACUCCCAAGUUGCUGGGGUCACAGGUGUGUGCCACCGUGCCCCCACCCCACCUCCUUCCAACUCACUCAUGUUCAAUGAAGGUAAACAAGCUGUCAAAAUGUCUAAAGCUUCCUUCUUGACCCUGGGUUCUCAGAGAUGAAUUGAACUUUCCUCCCAUCCUUCUCACCUGCUCACCCCUAUCCUGCUGUGCCCCAAUUCUCACCUUCACAAGGGACCUGCUGCAGCUGGAGGUGGGCUGACAGUAAGCCUAGGGAGGGGGAGGGCCUGGGGGGAGGGCUCUCCAGGGCAGACCCCUGCAGCUCGGCUCUCACCCGGCUGCCCUGGCCCCUCAGAGAGAACAGCAGCAACAUCCUGGACAACCUGCUGACCCGCAUGGAGCAGUAUGCCAACAACCUGGAGGAGCUGGUGGAGGAGCGCACGCAGGCCUACCUGGAGGAGAAGCGCAAGGCAGAGGCCCUGCUCUACCAGAUUCUGCCUCAGUGAGUGCCCAUCUCUUCAGACCCGCCCCCCCCACACACACUCAGCCCCUGACCCCACCUCACACUCUGGUCUACACCUGCCCUGACCCCUCAGCUCAGUGGCUGAGCAGCUGAAACGCGGGGAGACAGUGCAGGCGGAGGCCUUUGACAGCGUGACCAUCUACUUCAGUGACAUCGUGGGCUUCACCGCCCUGUCAGCAGAGAGCACACCCAUGCAGGUAAGCCAGGGGCAGUCACAGGUGGCAGACCAGGUGGGUCAGCUUGGUGUCACUUCUCCGUCCCCAAGGUCUGCCUUCUGGUUCCCUCCUCCCACCCCACCCCAGGGAGCACCCUUCCUUCCAGUCCCAGUGGCUUCUUGUGCCUUCCAGGUGGUGACCCUGCUCAAUGACCUGUACACUUGCUUUGAUGCAGUUAUAGACAACUUUGAUGUGUACAAGGUAGGGAUGGGAAGGGACAGACAGACGUGGACAGGGUCAAAAAACGGUGAGGUUCAGGCGUAUGAAAGAGAAGUCCAGGGCACAUGAGCAGUGACUGGGGGGGGGGGACCCACCCGGGACCCACCCACCCACCCACAGGCAGAGGGGCGGGGUGAGCGCAGGGCGGGAGCCGGUGCGCGUGGGUGUGGCCGGCAGGUGGCCACAGGGAAGGGAGUUCCCGCCCUCCUGCCCCGCCUUGUCUCGCGCCCCACAGGUGGAGACAAUCGGCGACGCCUACAUGGUGGUGUCGGGACUCCCAGUGCGGAACGGGCGGCUCCACGCACGCGAGGUGGCCCGCAUGGCCCUGGCGCUGCUGGACGCGGUGCGCUCCUUCCGCAUCCGCCACCGGCCCCAGGAGCAGCUGCGUUUGCGCAUCGGCAUCCACACAGGUGCGGAGGCCCGGAGCAGGGACCGGAGGGGUCUCCUGGAGGUGGAGCUCCGCGAGGAGAACGCCCCUGGGACCAGCACCUCGGCCCCAUCUCGGUCUCCCCCUCCCUGUCCCCACUCCCCCCGUCUCUCCUCCCUUCCCUCUCCCUCUCUCCCUCUCCUCCCCUCUUAGCCCACCUCCUGCCUCUCCUGGGGCGCCUACCAGUCUCCCUUAACUCCCUUCUCACCCCUGCUACUGCUGAUGGACUCUGUUCCCUCCCUUGUCCCUCCUAGGACCUGUGUGUGCUGGCGUUGUAGGGCUGAAGAUGCCCCGUUACUGUCUUUUUGGGGACACUGUCAACACUGCCUCAAGAAUGGAGUCCAAUGGGGAAGGUAUAGUGGCCCUCCUAGAGGGGAGGAGGAGGGCCGGGUAGCCAAAGGAAUGGCCGCACUGUGGCAGCUUAAUUUAGGCAGUCCCUGUUCUGGCUUCUAGUCCUUUCUUCUCCCACAUGCCCUUCUCAUAAUGCAGAUGACUCUCCUCUUAGGAUAGGGUUACAUUGUAAGUUGAAAAUAUCCUAGGUUGAAAAUACAGUAACACACCUGACCUCUGGGAAUAUCAUGGCUUAUGUAGCCCACCGUAAACGUUCUCGGAACACUUACAUUAGCCCAAAGCCAGCAAGACUCCCUAACACAAAGCCUGUGUUGUAAUAAAGUAUUGAAUAUCUCAUGUUCACACAUAGGCGAGUGUUUGUAGACAUGAUGGGAUGUGAAAACAAAAUGCAAUAUCCAAAAGAUGCUAGCAGCACAAUGUACCCUGGAGCACAGGCUCUUCACCUUUGGAGUCAUGUGGCAGACCCUGAGCUGCGGCCCAGUGCUGCUGCCACCCACAAGGGCAUGAGGACAUGUGCUGCACAUAUGCCCAGGAAAAGAUCAGAAUUCAAACAAUUGAAUGUAUGUGGCUUUCACAUGAUCACAAGUCAAAAGAUUGGACUAUAAUAAAAGUCAAGGACCAGCUGAGCAUAGUGGUGUACCCUGUGCAAGGCUGAGGCAGGGGACUUGCAAAUUCAAAGCCAGCCUAAGCCACUUAGCAAAACCCUGUCUCAAAAUAAAAAAAAAAAUAAAAAAUAAAUAAAACGUUCUGGGGCUGGGGUUUGUGGCUCAAGUGGUAGCGCGCUUGCCUGGCAUGCGUGAGGCACUGGGUUCGAUCCUCAGCACCACGUAAAAAUAAAUAAGUGAAAUAAAGGUAUUGUGUUCAACUACAACUAAAAAAUAAAUAUUAAAAAAUAAAAAUAAAAAGUUCUGGGGACGUAGCUCAGCGGUAAAGCACUUCUGGGUUCAAUCCCCAGUACCAAAAAAAAGUAUUUCUGGGUCAGUGUUCAACAGUGCCUAGCAGGAAUCACACCUUUAAGGCCCUCUGCUCCAUCUUUGGUGUGGUGAAGAUGAUUGCAAAGGCAGACAACUCUCAGUUCCAGAGCUAGCUGUAUCAAUGUGCUAUCCCUCUCUGAGUCCUGGUUUUCCUGAUCUGUAAAAUGAAGGUAAAGUAUCUACCUCAUGCGGGGCGCAGUGGCACACACCUGUUAUCCCAGUGGCUCAGGAGGCUGAGGCAGGAGGAUCGUGAGUUCAAAGCCAGCCUCAGCAAAAACGAGGUGUUAAGCAACUCGGUGAGACCCUGUCUCUAAAUAAAAUAUAAAAUAGGGCUGGGGAUGUGGCUCAGUGGUUAAGCACCCCUGGAUUCAAUUUCUGGUACCAAAAAACAAACAAAAAAAAUCUACCUCGUAAGGAAUAUGUGAGAAGCUGUACAAAUGCCUAGCACAUGAAUGUCACUCAACUUUUUCGAGACUCAGCUGCUUAUCUGUAUCUCAGGGUUGUUAAAAAAAAAAAAAAUCAAAAACCAAACAACCCUAGCACAGCUUCUGGCACACAGUAGGUAUCUGUAAAUGCUUGCUCUCACCCUUUCCCUUCAUCUUGCUUUCUGUUUCUCUGCUAUCCAGCUUCUUCUGUAUUUGACACAAUUCAAGUCAGUAAAUAUUUAUUGAGCCAUAAAUACCUGUGCCAGGCCAGAGUUUAGCUGAGGAGUCUAUGUGGACCCCAUCCAAGGGUCCAGCCCUGGGAGCCCUGUGGGGUCUGGUUCAGCAGAUAUUCCCUGGGCCCUGUGUUUGAGGCUCCGGGGUAGGAGAGAGCUUCUCCCUGAGGUCCUCAAGGAGCAUAUUCUCAGAAAUGGCUAACAAGAGGCCACAUGAUGCAGACCCGGGGAGAAGUAUCAUGAGGUCAGAUAGUGGCCAGAGAAAGAGUAUGGGACUGGUGGGCCCAUCACUGAUCUCCUCGGCAGCUGGGGCAGAUCUUCUGCCCUGGGUCUCAUUUCCUCAGCCAUAAAAUGAGAGGAUGGAGUCACCUAACAGAUAGCAAGGACUUAGGUAAAGCUUCCUAUGGGCCGCGUUUUGUUUGAAUUAUUCAUUUAUUUAUUUAUGGUGCUGGGGAUCCAACCCAGAUGAAUAAUUUUAAUCCUCACAACAGGAACGCAUCCCUUUGAGAUGGUGCUUUCUCUAUCAGCAUCUCAUAGAUUUAGAAAAUGAGACACAGUUUAUAUUAAUUACCCAAGCAAAUGUCUAAGGGAUUCAUGCUGAGGCAGAGCAGGAUCCACAGCUUCUAACCACUAUGCUACACUGUCCCUCUGGAUCUGAACGAUACUCUGUAACAAUACUGCCCAGUAGUAUUUUUUUAGAUGUUAUUGUAUUUUUUAAUGCCUUUAUUUAAUUAAUUUAUUUGUUUUUAUGUGGUGAUUGAACCCAGUGUCUCACUCAUGCCAGGCAAGUACUCUAUUACUGAGCUAUAACUGCAAUCUCCAAUAGUAUUUUCUUGUGCAGUACAGGGAAUCAAACUCAGGGAUGAUCUACCAGUGAGCUAUGUCCCCAGCUCUUUUAAUUUUUUAAAAAUUUUAUUUAGGUCUCACUAAGAUGUCAAGGCAGAGGAGUCAGGCAUGGUAGAGCACGCUUGUAAUCUCAGUGGCUCAGGAAGCUGAGGCAGGAGGAUUGCAAGUUUGAGGCCAGCCUCAGCAAUUUAGCAAGGCCCUAAGCAACUUAGUGAGACACUGCCUCAAAAUAAAACAUAACGGCUAGGAUCGUGGUUCAGUGGCAGAGCACUUGUCUAGCAUAUGUGAGGCACUGGGUUCGAUUCUCAGCACCGUGUAUCCAUAAAUAAAAUAAAGGUCCAUUGACAACUAAAAAAUAUAUUUAAAAAAAUAAAACAUAAAUAGGACUGGGGAGGUGGCUCAGUGAUUAAGCACCCCUGGGUUCAAUCCCUGGUAUAUAAAAAAGUCAAGGCUGGCCUUGAAUUUGCGAUCCUCCUGCCUCAGCCUCCUGAGUUGCUGGGAUUAUAGGCAGCCAUGUGCUGCCACUCCUGGCUCCAAAACUAUUUUCUGCAGUCAUGAAAAUGUCCUGCAACUUUUACUGUCCAGUAUUGCGAACUUUAGUCACAUGUGGCUAUGGAUCCCUUGAAGUGUGUCUAAUACAACCAAGGGUCAGAAUCUUUGGUUGGGUUCUGAUCUUGAACUGGGGAUUGAACCCAGGGGUGUUUUACCACUGAGCUACAUCCCCAGACCUUUGAAUUUUUUAUUUUGACACAGGGUCUCACUAAAUUGCUGAGGCUGUCCUUGAACUUGUGACCCUCCUGCUUCAGGCUCCCAAGUGGCUGUGAUUACAGGCGUGCACCACUGAGCCCAGCAAGGCACUGAAUCUUUAGCUGUAUAUCGUUUCAGUUAAUUUAGACAGGCACAUGUGACUAAUGGGACCAUGUUAGGCAGCACAGCUCUAAAAUUCUAAAGGAGCCAAUAUAGUCACACAGUAUAGUCACACAUGCAUAGAGAGGGUGGGACUUCUCUGAGUUAAGAGGCUUUGGGGCCAAAGGAUGGAGGAGGGCAUCUGUCUACCCCAGUCCCCGGGUCUCCUCUGCCUGCUCCGUCCCCGCACUCCAUCUCCCUUCCCCUGUCCUACUCAGCGCUGAAGAUCCACCUGUCUUCUGAGACCAAGGCUGUCCUGGAGGAGUUUGAUGGUUUUGAGCUGGAGCUUCGAGGGGAUGUGGAAAUGAAGGUAGAGAAAGAAGUCCCUGCCAUCACGGUCCCUGGGGUCCUGGAGCGGGGGUACCCUUCUCCAGCAGCCAAUGCCACUCCCAUUUCUAGGCCUCCUAUCUGAUUUGGGACAGUAGUUGUGCCGCUCCCCACCCCAACCUUUUAUUUUUUAUUUUUUUUCCUCCAGGGCAAAGGCAAGGUCCGGACCUACUGGCUCCUGGGGGAGCGGGGGAGUAGCACCAGAGGCUGACCGGCCCCCCUUGCUGUCCUUCCAUACCUCCGAUGCCUGGUCUCCACCUCUCCCCAGCAGCCCCACCACUGCAGAAGGAUGAGAGAGCCGUGGUUGGAACAGCUCAGGCCCCCAGACCCCAGUAGAGACCCCGGGUGUGACUCUGAGAGACGACUGGCAUAGGGAAGAACCCAGAGCUCACAGGACCGACCUAAUCACACACUCACACAAAAUGGCACCGGUGUAGGCACAUGUCCCCUCCGCCUCCCCUAACGGGCUCCUCCUCCCUCGGCCUUGCUACACUGUGACUUUUAUUAAAAUUACCAUAGGGGAUAUGAAAAGGGACUCUAGUGAAAGGAGGGGGUAGAAGGUCCAGAUGUGGGCCUGAGCCACAGGGAUCACAAAUACCAUCCCACCCAUAGCCACCACCCACCCCUCCACUCAACAGUGGGCACAAUGCACAGGUGUGAAGAGGGGCCAUGGGGAGAGGCUGUGGUCCUGUGCGCCUUGUUCUCCUGUGAACAGACCAUUAAAACCUUUAUUCCAGUGACAGUGUCUCUUCUUAAGGGAGAGAGCAUUGCCAGAAAACAUAGCCAUGUUCUCUACCUUCUGCUUCGAAAAGACUAGUUUCUCCAACUGGGAAUGUAGAUUCUGAAAAAGCCGGCAGUCACCUGCAGCUUUGAGGAGACCACGGAACCCUCUGUGAAUUUUGCAGAAGUGCAGAACCUUUGUUUAUGUGGGUUAUACUUAUUGAUAUCGGUCGUAUUAGACAUAAAAAUAACCACAGCGAAGAAAGUGAAAUGAAUGCUUAUUGAUUGAGUCAUUCAGGAUAACAAUAAUAAACGCAUUAUAUGUUAAUAAUU